UAACAAGGUCUCCGUUGGUGAACCAGCGGAGGGAUCAUUACCGAGUUUACAACUCCCAAACCCCUGUGAACAUACCUUAUGUUGCCUCGGCGGAUCAGCCCGCGCCCCGUAAAAAGGGACGGCCCGCCGCAGGAACCCUAAACUCUGUUUUUAGUGGAACUUCUGAGUAUAAAAAACAAAUAAAUCAAAACUUUCAACAACGGAUCUCUUGGUUCUGGCAUCGAUGAAGAACGCAGCAAAAUGCGAUAAGUAAUGUGAAUUGCAGAAUUCAGUGAAUCAUCGAAUCUUUGAACGCACAUUGCGCCCGCCAGUAUUCUGGCGGGCAUGCCUGUUCGAGCGUCAUUUCAACCCUCAAGCCCAGCUUGGUGUUGGGAGCUGCAGUCCUGCUGCACUCCCCAAAUACAUUGGCGGUCACGUCGAGCUUCCAUAGCGUAGUAAUUUACAUAUCGUUACUGGUAAUCGUCGCGGCCACGCCGUUAAACCCCAACUUCUGAAUGUUGACCUCGGAUCAGGUAGGAAUACCCGCUGAACUUAAGCAUAUCAAUAAGC
rnacentral:rRNA from 1 species